UUACAUCAAAGAAACUAUAAUAAUAACACACUUGAUUAAAUCGAAUUGCUUAUCGAUUCGAGAACGAGUCUAACAUUUCAAUUUGAAAACUAGGUUGGUUGGAUAAUAAUAAUAAUAAUAAUCGUGUGUUUCGUUUCUACAAAACGAAAGCGUGGAAACGAAUAGAUAGUUUCACGUAUCAAGAACCGUUUUAAGAGACACGUAUACAUUAGUGAAAAUUAAUUAAAGCCGGCGAGCAACAUCUCAUGAAUAAAACAAUCACAACUGGCACUGGACUCGGAUUACCAGGACCUCACUAUGAGCGAGCAGCGAGAACAGACUUGGAACUCGAGGUUCGCACGAGGUCAAGAGCAAAAGUAAAUGACAUUGGCUUUGGAACGUGAUGCAUCGUGAUGGCCGAAAAAAUUCAUCGAAUCGUUCUUUCAGCGCGCUUUCAGCACGUGCGAUCAAGAUUCGUACACAUUUUAUUUUAUUUAAUGAUCGUCUUUAAGCCUGUCAUUACGUCUAUGCUUCUGUUCUUCGACAGAGGUUCCGUUUCACGGGCUGGUCUCUCGCGAGCUUUUUCGCUUUCGAGCCUCACGAACGAUGAAAAUCGCCUUGACUAGAGAACGCAUGCAUUCGAGAAUAAUAAUUAACGAACGCGCGUAUAACCAAUAUGAAUUCACGUAUGGAGGUUUGGGGUUUGUAGGUUGCCAGGUUCGCAUAACUUCCGCUAUGUAUUUCUCGUUGUCGAUCAAAUAUGAGUGAAAGCAACGCGAUAGCAUGCAGCUGUUCAAUUUCGAAUACUUUUAUUCCGAGAAACGUAAAACGUUUGAUCUAAUUUUUUUUUUUUCUCAACUUGUUCAAUUAUUAUUUUGACGAAUUGAAAUUGAAUAGAACAGUCAACGCGGUAUAAAAUUGCGGUUUGAUGUUUGCCCAAGUGAUAAAUUGCGCGUGGGAAAGGAAAGGAAGAAAAUCAUUAUUGGAUAGCACCCAAGGCUGGUCAUUGGCCGUGACUGGUAUCGCGCAUCUAUUUCUUCAGGAUGUGCUGUCCAGCAUUCUUCCUGUACCACAAGAAACAAGUGAAUUGUAUACAGUUCAGCGAUAAUAUCGUAAAGGAUGCGUGUUAUCUUGAUCGAAUCAGAUCAGCAAAUAUGGGGAUAUUUUUUUUGAUUUUUGGAAUUUAAAUAUAAUUUAAAUAUCUCGUUACAAGCGUUUAAAAAAAAUAUAUAUUUGUCUUUUGUAGCUUCUUCUAAUUUUUUAUGGAUUAAACGAUCGCAAUCUUCACGUGAUAUCGAUCACAGAAUAAAGGCUAUCGAAUAACUUAUCUUAGUCAAGUUUCGAUGAAUUACAUAACGGCGAUGUUGCGAAAAAAGAGAAGACCGAGUUAAGAAAGACGUGAGAAUCACUUGAACUUGAAAGAUCGAGGUCUCCUCCAUGGGUCUUUUCCAUUCAUCGUCGAGAAAAACAAUUAUUUGUGCUGCAACUUUUCACUUUAUUAUUUAUUAGAAGAAUUUUUCCCACUGGGAGAAGUACUGUUAAUAUAAUAUUAAAACAGGAUUAAUUAACUAGCUAUCUCUGAUCGUGGAAACACUCGAAUCGGUCGAAUUGAAACGAGAUUUAUCUAACUGGAAUUGUGAAAUUGCUUCGAGGAAGAUAAAAUAAUUAUACGUAAUACUGAUAGAUGAAACAGAAUUGAUGAGAUAUAACGAAGAAAAAAAGUUUAGGAAAAAUUAUGCUUCCGGUAGUCGGGAGAAGAUUCCUCGUGGACCAUGAGCGUGUCAUGCGGUUGGUUCUAACGAUCAGAUAUUCAAUUUAGCUUGGAGAAUUAACGUUCAAUUUAAAUGAACCAUUGGAGAAUCAUUAUGAACCGAUAAGCUUUCAAGUCAUUAAAAUUUGUACGUACCAUUUUGCGAUGUUACAAUCAACGAUUCAGUCAUGAAAAUGUUUUAAUUAAUCUCUGUUACAGUCUACAGGAUAUCACUCACCAUGAGGAAGACCAUUUUUAACACUGUGAACUUGAAUUGUUUUCUCGGUCUGUUUGACAAUACAAUUAGCUAUACGCGUUACAUGAAUUGAUCGCAAUGUUCUAGUGGAAGAAGGAAUUGAAUUAAAACGGGGGCACACGAGUUCCUUAAACACCGUUCAUGUCACCGCACCGGAUGUCGUGGGGUCGAACACCUCCGUCCUCACAGGUGGAUGUCCAGAGGUUGACUGUAGAAUCGUAAGUAACCACUCUCUGUGCUCUGGUAGAGCCAAGGAAAAAGAGGGGAUGAGACGAGGAAUAUCGGCCCCUAUUCUACCUCGAAACCUUUUUUUCUUUUAUUGAAGAAAAAGUUCGAAGAGAAAAAGGGUAACUAAGAACGCCCCUCUUUUUCUUUUAUAUUUCAUCAAAAAGUUUCUAUCUAAUGUUUGCAUGUUCAUCGGAAUUAUUAUUUUUUAUAC